rnacentral:lncRNA from 1 species
GUGAUGAGCAUAGCCAAAUUGGACAGGAAGAUGCACGCACCAAUCUUGGGCAGCCCAUUUGGAGCUCCUGGUGGUACUGCUGUAGCUCCACCACCUGGAACUGGGGGACUUGCUGUAUGAGAGGGCAAGGGUCCCUCCACAACAUCAGGUGCAGUUAACACUGGGUUUGGAGGCUCAGCUGGGGGCAAGGCAAAAGGUGGGAUUAGCGGCAUGAGACCGCCAGGCUGAGCAGGGCUCAUGUAAUGAGGUAAAACAUUAUAGCCCAAGCAUCGGUUCCCUGCAAUAAAAUGGAGCAAUGUGUUACUAAAUGGCAAACAGAUAUCACUUCAUGUCUGGUGGAUAAAUUUAUUAUGGAAUUUCCCUCAAAUCUGAAAUGAGACUAACACAAAUAAUGGCAGUUAAAUAUACUCUCAAGUCAUAUUGUAUGAUCCUAACCUGAUUUCUACACAUAACAUGUAAUAUGCGAACCUAUUUUUCUCAGCCUAGUACAGUAUGAAAUUAAACUGACAUUUUCAUGAGAACAAGAUCAUCUAAGGAAUAAUUUUUCCAGAACAUACAACUUCGUCCAGGAUUCACUCUGUAUUGUUGCAUAUAAACUAGAAACAUCAGUGACUUACUCUUGUAUCUGGCAGAAGUCAGAGGGAAUUCUGUGAUAACACCGCUGAUGUUGACUCCCAUGACGUAGGAGUUAAUUUCAACUGUUGAAUCUGAGAAGAAGUCCCAUGCCUGAGAUACAAACUCAUUGCUGAAAGUUUCCACAUAAACUGAGAGCCCAUGCGAUUGCAGCUUUGGCACAACAUUUGUAACACCACUGAGGAAUGAAGAACUUUCAGGAAAGACAGAAGCCUUGCUGAUGACCACAGAAUUAGCAAAGUCUUUGAUGUCCUUCAGUGCUGCAUCUUGAGCAUCUUGAAUAUCCUCUUCAAUCCGGUACACAAGCUCAUAAUUGCUUUCGUCCCUAAAUUUCAUUAGAACUGAGCUGUUGGUGGACUCAAUCAUAACUUUCUUGGAAGUUGGAUCAUCAUAACCAGCUAAGCUCAAGACUUCAAGUACUUUGUCAGUAAUGGGUAAUCCCUCUUUCUCUAUAAGAUAGGCUGCGUUCUGAAAUGAACAGAACAGACAACAAACAUCAGUCAGGGUGGGAACAACCUUCAUUUUUUCUACUGAGCUGCAUGAAAUGUGGACAAAAAUAAUAAUCACAUAUUCUUCUUUUUUUUUGGCUGCUGUUGAAGACCUUAUUCUAUUAUUCUAUGAGAGAAAUCCCCAGGCGUGCAAUUAUAGCUCAAAGGUCUGUACUAAGCAUGUGAGCUGCUCAUGAGACUAGAAGCAUGGCAGGAAGUUACGCCAAAGGAUGCGGUUAAUACAACCACAGGAACCAUUGUCAUCUUUAUUGCUACAAAAGAAAUGAAAAUGCAGAUCGCUAGCAGAUGAGAUAUCUGAAAUGAGCAACCACUGAAUAUGAUGGUCCAUUAAGUUCCAUCAACCAUGGAAACUAAUACCAUGUGUGAAAUGGUUUCCAAGUUGGGGAAGAAAAAUAAAAGAGAUAAUAUGUUCCACUAACAGAACUAACCAAUUAAGCACUGCUUUUGUUUUACUAAUAAGGUGUAGUGUGAUGAUAAAUUUGAUUUUGAUAACAUGCUUUCCAUCCAACAGGAAAAAUGUAAAAUUUCCACAAACAAUCAAAGGAAUAUCAAGUGCAAGCAGUUUAUGCAAGUUCAGAGUAAAAAUGCAGCAAAUGCUAUAGCAGGAAUCAGAUGAUUCAAACAAAGGAUCAUGUACGAGUAAUGUGAGCUUAGCAAAAACCCACCUCAAUGCUAAUCAAGACACCAGAAAGCGAGCUAGUGUUCUUUGCCAAUGCUAAGAAAUCAGACAAUGUUAGAAACUUCCCUAAAUUUUUGAAUUUGGGAUUCCGUAACAAUUCAUAUUUUGAAUAUGGAUUGGAAAUCACCGCUACAAUGAAAAAAGAAAAAGAUCAAUACAAUAUCAUUUUCUUCAAUGAAAACAUUUGGACAAUCAUACAUCCACAAAGAAACAACAUAUGGAAUUCAAACAACAACAACUAGAUUACAAAGCAGAAUUUAGAGUUGGGCAGGAGUCAAAAAAGAGAGCAGAGGAAUAUUUCUGUUCCUUUUCUCACAAAAUUCUACCUUUUAAAAUGUAAAGAGAGCAAAAUCAAAAGAAUGGUGCCAGGCAAAGGACAUUUGCGUUUAGUAUUGUUCCAAGAAUUGUAAUCUCUGUAAUUCUUUUCAUGUAUUUAUUCUCAAAUCUCAAGUGGUGGGAAUAGCUGGUUAUGAGAUCUUGUCUUGUGACUCCCACGACCAAGACAUUAUUUCCUUUGAGCCCUAGAUGGAUGUGUUUUUUUGGCUGGCCACUCUUUAUUUCUCUUCCUCAAUGUCCUAAAUUAUUUUAACUUUGCGAUCCAGUACUGAGCAUUCUAUUUUAACAGAAUGUGAGGAUUGAGUAAUGCCCCUCCACGUAAUUGUUUGUUCAUAGGCCAAGAUUUUUUCCCCCACUAAAAGGAAAAAAAAUUUAUAAAAAAAAUCAUGUUUUAUUGGGAAGGGGGUGCAACAGAAGAUUGAAAAAGCAAAAGAAGUAAAAGCCAACCAGUUUGAACUUACGAGUUAAGUUCUGAAUCUCACUCCAUGUUAAGCUAAAGGUGAAUAUCCCACUGCCUGCCUUAAUCUGUGGAAUAUUCUGUUCACGAUUGCUGUAAAUUGAUUGGGCAACUGUUGUACUGUCAUAAAGAUUUAUAGAGCCUAAGCAAAAUGGUAUCCCGUCUUUUGAUAUUUGAACAGGACAAUCAAUAACAUCAGCACCAUCUAAAAUAGCUUUCUGGUAAGCCAAAUCAGUGCAACCAGGGUAGUCUCCACUUGCACCAUUUUUUGAGAUGACCGAAAGGUUCACUGAACCAUGAGAAAAGGAGGACAGAAGAGCUAAGUACUAAUGUUCAAAAAAUGCAAUAUCCUUUGAAGUUAAAUCUCAUAUAAAAAGAAUCAGAAAAUAAUUUUGCACCUUGAGGUGUAGCAUUCUUGCCCAGACCAGAAAAACAAUCUGCAAUACAGAAGGAGAAAUCAGAAUCUCAAAAUAUUUAUUCUCCGGAUUAGGAGAAAUAUCCAGACAGAACUUAAGCAUUAUAAUCUUUAACUCCAACCGAAAGAUUACAGCUAGGAUAAGAAGAGAAAUUGUCUCAAUGGUUCUAUGAGUCAAUGAUAACAGCAGUCACAGUACUAAACCUUUUAAGUUCGACCAAAAUUUGAAUCAUGCAGUGAUAAGGAAUAAAGUAUCAAGCAUGUUCUGACAUGAGAAGCUAGAAGUAGCAACAGUUGAAAGUUAAAUGAUGGUAGGCAGGCUAACAACUGUUCCCAUAAAGAAAUUACUGCUAAAUGUCCAGUUAUUUAAGUUGAAAAACACUAGAUUGAACCAAUAGUUCACGGUUUGUUCAGAUCCAUGAUGCUUAAAGAGAAGGAUUACAGCUUACCAAUAGUCGCAGAAGGAGUUACUGGAAAGUCAGAGAGCACGCCAUCAACAGAGAAUUCACCAUUGUCAACAAAUCUGAGAUACUCAGUUACAGGAUCAUAACUGUAAUUGUAACUUAGUGGAACGUCAUUAUAAAAUUCUGAUACAAAAACCUCUAGCCCUGCCUUGUGUGCAUCCGAGACGAUAGAAGUAUGAGGUUGUAAGUAAUUACUUGCAUCUAAAGGCCAUAUGUAUGACUUAGGGAUAAGAAUUCCAGAUGCAAAUGUCUUGAUGAAAGUAAAGUUCUUUGAGAGAGAACCAUAUGUCUCAUUUGUUGAUGGCUCGAUGACAUUUGAUUCCAGAAACCGGAAGACCAGUUUUGUUAUAUUUAGGUUAAAUCUCUUAACAAUACUUCUCAAGAAACCCGCUUCUGGUGAUGAGAGAUGAUUAAUGACAACCCUUCUGUAUAGAGACAGUACAUAGCUUCUCAUACUCAAAUUGUGCUGUGUGAAGAAUGCAUCAUGCUGCAAAAGUAUCAGAACAAAAAGAUUUGGUUGAAAUAAUAGAUGGUAGUGCACGUUCCACUGAAUUAAAGGGAAGGGAAGAACAGAAACAACAGUAAAGAAGGCUUCAUGUUAAUAAGUUCAUAGAAGGUACUGGUGUAAGAUAAAACAGAAAUUAUAUUGCUUCUCUACCUGAAUAUUCAACCAUAAGCCUGGUGGUUUUAAGGUAGCCACAUCCUCAACAGUUUGGAUGGGAUAAAUGUAAUCAAACCUUUCACUCCGAGAAAAGAUUCCCUGAUUCACUGUCAAGGAAAAACAAUGUCAGAAUCAGAAGUUCAAGGCAGGAAUUGAGAAGUUAAGAAACAGUUGAUCCACACAGACUGGUAUGCUAAGAAAAUUUUCAUAGUCAAUCUCAUGAAGAUCAAUUUAGAUAAAAUCUCCUUCAGAGACUAAUGAGCAGGUCCCUAUCAGUAAAAUCUGAAGAUCAACAAUGGGAUAUCCAAAUCCAAAAACAAAACAACCCCCCAUUGGUUUUUUCUUCAAAUAUUUGAUUGAAGUAUCCUAUCUGCAAUAAAACUCUCAGUGUCUCUAAAUGACCUGAUGUUAUUAACUGUCUUUCAUGCUUGACCAUUACUAUCACUUAUACAUCAAGCAAACUUCACAAACAGAAGGACUAUAACAACAACAAUAAAUAAUAAGAAUGGAGAAUAAACAGCUUGUACUUUUGUGUUAUUCUUAUGCAAAUAAAAGGGGUAAGGUCUUGAGUUUGACUCCCGCCUUUGUCAAUUCAUUGCUAAUUUCAACAAAAAAUGAAAAGAAGGAAAUGGCAGCUGAUUCACUUGAUUCAUGCAAAUUUUUAGCAAUCAACAAUAAGAAAAUCUGGAUAUUUCAAAUGAUCACUUCAUGUAAUAAUAAUACUUUACAAGAAGUAUAGAAAUAAACAGGCUACCAAAAAAUGACCAAUAACCAUAUGAAGCAAGUUGUUGAAGUCUUAGCCAAACUCACAGGAUACAAGUGACAAUUCAUUGAGAGUGAAAUCCACUGUGAACCAUCCUCGGGUAGGAAUUCCAUUAACUAGGUACAACUUAUCCUUAUUUUGCAUAACUUGUGCAAUGCUAGUAGAAUUGUCAAGCCUGAGAUCAGGGGCACAAAUCCCCACACUAUCUUUAGUUAACUGCACAUCACACCAUAGGACAACACCCGGCAAACUUGUAAGUGUUGCAAACUGGAAAGCAUCUGAGCUAGAAUCAGGAAAUAAUCCUGAAAACCCGCCACGUGCUAUGACUAAAGGGGGAUUUCCUGCAGAAUGAAAUUAAUUAGUGAGCUUUUUUCAUUAUAAGGUCGAUUGACUCUACUCAAAUGUGUUAUAGGGUCAUAUUUUUAUCCAUGCAAAUUUACUGCAACACAGAUUGCAAGUUCACUAACCAAAAAUUGUUAUUGCAACACAAAUUACAUCAAAUUAUUUUGUGAGCAUAUAAGAAUUAGUUAAGUUGCAAGUUCAACAUUUUUUGGGUAUUCAUAAUAGAAAUAUUUUGGAAAGCACCAAGAAUCUUAUGAGUAGCCAUUUUUCUUGAAAGAAUUUUAUUGACCAACAUUCUUUUUUGUCAAUUUUCUCAACAAACUCAGAUUUAUAGAAACCUCCGGUUUUUGGAAAGCCAGGUUCAAGCAAAUUAACUAUCACAUAAAACAAUUGACUUAUCAGAACUUAGAGUGUGGGGAAAUGUAAAAAGAAAAAUGAAAAACCACCCACAACACCAAUAUCCAAAAGCCUGUAAUUCAUGAAAAAGAAAUGCAUGCACUUUUUUUUUUGUGUAUAAUGAACUGAACUGGUAGGAAUUUCAUAUAAAUUGAAGGUUUUCCAUAAAUGACAUGAUGUGAUUUCUCCAAGAAAAGAAAGAAAUUCAAGAAUUCAUUUUGCAUAAGCCCAUGAUGAGAUCAAAAUCAGCUUUCGAAAAAGAAAUCAAUUUUAAUCUUUGAAUUUAAAGUAAUCUUCAAGGCCCAAUACAAACAAGUUAUCUUAUUCUAGAAAUAGUAACCAUGUUGUUCCUUGCUAUUUUCUUAACUAAAGCUUAUUUAAAACGGUGUUUAACGAUCUAAGAUACCAUAAAUAAAAUUAUCACAAAUUCUACUAAUUACUCAUUUAUCAUAAAUCAAAUGUAAAAAAAAAAAAAAAGUAAAAUAUUGCAUCUCUUAUAUAUUUUCAAUAUUUAUUUAAGGCCAAAUCUUCAAAGACGGAAAGCAAACUCCCUACAAAUGCAACUAGCUCCUAAGCUGUAAUUCUAAAAUAGAAAAUCGAGCAUCACAUGCAUUUUCCUAGCAAACAAACACAAAAUCUAGAGGGAGAGAGAAAUCUGAGUGCGUGGUAGUGAGAGAAAAGCAAAGACAGACCGGUGAGUGUUUGCCAGGUAGUAGCAGAUCCCUGAGCAGAGACAACAACCACCAAUGACUGAAGUAGUAGUACAGCUAGUAGAGGAGUGAAGAACGAGCGUAAGUUACACAUUGCCGGAAAAUCUAGCCGGCGACUUGUUGGAGGAGCUUAAGCAAAACUCCGGCCAAUAUAUAUAUAUAUAGACAGAGACACCGACCAUUAAUCUUACUAAAACAAAUAUAUCAGAUAAUAUGUGGUAAAUUAACAAUUGAGUUGGACUAGAGAUCCCUAUCUGCCCACUCAGUGAUGGAAUCGGGAUGGCUCGAGCCACUGAGUAAAAGGUGACAAGUGCUGGUUGGAAGACAGCUAGAAUGGCGUCCACACCAUGAGCACAAACAAUCCGGCAACAGUCCACUUGUCAUGAUAUGAUUGGUUCUCCUAUUUUAGGAGAAGGUGACUUGUCAGCACGCAACGAGAAAACAAGAAGACAUCCACAAACGACAGAAGAUAUUGGAAAAAGAUGAUGGUGAACCAAUUGGCAACAAUAGUUUACAUUUAGGAGUCAAUAAAUAGACUUAUCAUUUUGACAUGACUAUUUUAAUAAUGACCCGUUGUUUUUUUAUAAUAAUUAUAUAUUUAUUUACUAAUUCUUUGUUUUAUAUAUAUUGUGGUUUUCUUGGGUUUUUAAUGGAAUAUAUAUAUAUAUAUAUAUAUAUAUAAACUAAACCUAGAGAUCUUUUCAUUAUACACGCAUGCAUUGUGCAUCCUUUUACAAAUUAUUAUUAAUUAAAUAAGUGAUCUUGUUUUUUUCAUUUUAAUCUCUAAUUUGUUUUUUUUGUACUGAAUCUUUUUCUAGCAAAGUUGAUAGUCAAUUGUUUCAAAAUGGUUAACAAAAGGCAAAAUUAAAGGAUAAAAGACUAAAGGGAAAAUAAAUGUUGUUUCUAUUGAUCUUUAAGUAAUACAUUUAUGAUUUUAUAUAUGUUUUGCCGAUAAUAAUAAUAUCAAAAUUAUACUAAUAAUAUGCUUGGUUGAGAAUAACUUUAAACUUGUUUUAUAUGAAGAAUAUCAACAAGCAUGGAUCAUGUCCAAGAAGAAAGCAAAACGAAGUAUUUAUUUUAGUGCUCAUGAUGUAAUCAUAUUAUUCGAUAGUUUCACCUACAUUUAACUAGUGUUUUGCCUAUGUUUUAUGUAUAAAAUGCCUUGAUAUUCUUUGUUUUAUGUUUUGAAGGCACCUUUAGAUGAAAGAUGCAAAAAGGAGUAAAUUGGAGGUAAUUGACAGAUUUGACCCUCAGUCGAUGUUUUGUGCAGAGCGUGAGUUCUAGAAGUCGAAAUGAAGUGAUUCUAGUGGCAUUAGAAAGAUAACAUCCAUACCUUUCUGGAAAUAUAAGUCAAGAAAAAUAAAAAUACAAAGAGCAUGGAAAUCACAUCCUUCAAAGUCAAAACUCGCAUUCUGCCAGUGUUGACCUUUGUCCAUUAAAAAUUCAAUAUCUGGAGCUACAGACAUCCAAUUGAUGCAAACUCAAUUGUGUUGGAUUCCUGACUCAAAUUCGUACAAACGCUCCAAAUUUCAGCCAAAAAAAAUGUCAUAUGAGGGAGAUAUGAUUUUUCAAAGAUGACAAUUGAAUUCUGCCAGCAAACAGGUUUCAUGAAGAAACGAAUCCAAAUUACAUCCCGAAGCAUCCAAACCGACAUCCAAGUUUUAAUUUCAGCAAUUUAGCUCCUCUAGUAAAUCAAUCCAGAAGGUCAAGGAAGGCAGCCACCAACCUCAAGCCACCAACCUCAAAUCACCAACCACAAACCAGCUGCCAACCACCAGCCACCAGCCGUCAGCCGCCUUCACACUACCACCAUCUAUCGAUGUUCACACUUGAACUUUGAUUCUUCUUACUUACAUUUUGUGUAUAAAUAGGCAGCUAAGUUUAUGCUAUGAAGAGAGCCAAUAGGGAAGGAAAGAGAGCCAAGAGAGGGAGAGGGAGUGCAGUGGAAUAAAAGAAAGAGGGGUGGCAGCCAUAAGAGAAGAAACACAAACUCUCCCCUCUACAAAUCAGAAAUCAUGUAUUCUUUCAUCUUUAGGAGUAGUUGUUCAAUAGAUAUGCAAGGCUAAGCUCGUUUUCUUGGUUGCAAGGACGCAAACACCUUCAGAUUUCAAGAACAAUGAGAUUUAUUCUUCCAUUUAUUUUCAGUUUGUAUUAUGAAUGAGUAUGUUUGUUUUCCUAUGCAUAUUUCCUGUGAUUGUUUAUCUUAAUUGCUAGAGCGGACUCUAAGUUAUUAUUGUGAACAAUUUAUUGCUAAGUUUGAUAUCAAAACCGGAGUUGUGGUAUAUAAACUUGUGAAGCAACUAAGCUUGAUAAUUGUAGCGGAACUACGUUAUUAAACUUAGGGAGAACAUUCGAUCAAAUGCAACACAAACUGACAACUUGGUUGUUAAGAUUAAUGACUUUAUCUAGAUCUUAAGGCUGCCAUUGGAUUAAAUCAUUAGUGCGGACACUGUGAUUGUUUGUUGGUUAGGGUUAAUUAUACAGCGGAUCUGUUAAUUAACCAACGUUAAGAAAAGAUAAAAAUUCAGAAUAUAAACUGGAGUUUCGUUUCAAGGAUCGGUUGUGAUUUCUGUUGGUGGAUGUGUGCUUGCGACCAAGGUUUGUUUUCUUGAUAUAUUUCAGUUUCAAUUGAUUUUGUUUAUUAGUGUAAUUUCUACCAUAGUUUAGAUCAUUGUAAAUCAAACCCCCCCAAUUACAUAACGUAUAGCAUAAAAAUCUGAACUAAACCUUCCUCGUGGGAUCGACCCCUUGCUUGCUCUAUACUAUCUUGUGUGUUUUAAGUUAGGGUAAUUAAUUUGUGCGACCGCGACAUCGCAACAGCUCAUGUGUAAAUCUUUAAAUACUACUUGAAAGCAGUAAUUAAAAUGAAUUCACACAUUUCACUUCACAUAUAUUUUAAAAGGAUUGAUAAAGCGGUUCUAAGAAUUCAUCAAGUUUAAAACUAUCAAAACUAGAAUUAUACAUGAACCAGUUGAUCAUUUGAUGAUACCAAAUGAACCGGUCGACUGCUUGCUCAUCAGGGAUGAACACCUAGAAAUUUAUAGAAACUGGUCGAUCGCUUCAGCCGUCAGUGGGUCUAACGACUGGUUUCUUUUAGAAACUUAUAAAUAGCUCUCAUUCUUGCAAAACUGUAAGAGAAUUCCGAACAUACAAUAUAUAGAGACUAUUUCAAAAGCAAAACUAGCUAGAAAUCAUCAAUCCUAACAUACUAUAAUGUUAUGCUAAAUUCAACCUUCAUAUUCUAGCACAAGAGUAUAAAUUCUCACACUCACUAUACUUAAACACUUUCAUACUUUCUAAGUGUUAUUUAGUGAGUUAUAGACAUCAUAGUUUUCAAUUGUAUUAUCUACUCUUUAAAAGAGUGUUGUCACAUUUCAAACAAUUGUAAACCUUCAAAAGUAUAGGUGAAAAACUCUUGGUCAUUGGUGAGGUGCAUCUACAAGGUAAAAAAUCUGAAGUUGAUAUUUCUUCAAGUGGUGAAUAAAGGGCUCAACAAGGAUUCAUCAAGGACAUUGUAAUCUCUAACUUGGAUUAGUAAAGAAUAUAGAGUCUAUAAUAAUAUAACACUGUGUCUUGAAGAAUUCAUGUAUGUUGUCUUCAAGGAAACUCAAAAUGAUAAAAUUGUUGAGAUUCUUUAUCACAUUAAUGAAUGUGGUCAACAUUUGAGUCUUAAUGAUAAGACCCCCAUGGAGGCUAACAAUAAAAAAAUAAACAAAGACCAACCAAGCACAAGUAAUCAAUAAGAGAUGGUAAGUAACUCUUUUAUUCCACCAAAAGAGUUAAGGUACAUAAUCUCUUACCUUUUUGAGUUAAUUAUUGACAACCAUUUUGAAGAACAAAGGCUAUAACUUCAUUUACAAAUAUAAAUGGUCAUUUUGUUUUUGUUUCAUAUAUAAAACCUAAAUCAUUUCUUGAAACUGAAAAUGAUGAUAAUUGAAUUUUAGCCAUGCAAGAUGAGUUAAACCAAUUCAAAAGAAAAUUAUGUAUGAGAACUAGUCCUUAGACAUAACAACCAAUUAAUUAUUGGAACUAAAUGGGUUUUUAGGAACAAAGUUGAUGAGCAUGAGACCAUUGUUAGAAAUAAAGCUAGACUAGUUGUCAAAAGUUAUAAUCAAGAAGAAGAUAUUGAUUAUAAAGAAACCUUUACACUGAUGGCUCGAUUAAAAUAAAUAAGAAUGCUUUUAGCUUUUUGCAUGCCAUGCUAAUUUUACACUUUUUUAAAUGAAUGUUAAAAGUGCAUUUUCAAAUGGUCUUAUUAUGGAAGAAGUGUAUGUUAAGCAACCUCAAGGUUUUAAAAACUUUCAUUUUCCCGAUCAUGUUUUCAAACUCAAAUAGGCUUUAUAUGGUUUAAAACAAGCAACAUGAGCAUGGUAUGAUAAAUUAAAAUCUUUUCUUAUUGAUAAUAGUUUUAACAUUGGUAAAAUUAACAUCACCCUCUUCACAAAGAGAAAAAGGUAAAGAUAUCUUGUUUGUGUAAAUAUAUGUUGAUGUUACUAUAUUCGAUGCUACUAAGGAAUCUCUUUGUAAGGAAUUUGCAGGAUGUAUGCAAGAUGAAUUUGAAAUGAGCAUGAUGGGAGAAUUAAAUGUUUUUCCUUAAAUUGCAAAUCAAACAAGCAAAGAAUGACAUCUUCAUCAACCGAAGCAAGUGUAUCAAAGAUCUACUAAAAGAUUUGGGAUGAAACAUGUCAAAGAAGUUGACACACCUAUAAGAACAUCAACCAAGCUUGAUAUGGAUGAAAAUGAUAAGAAUAUAGACAUCACCAAAUAUUUAGGUAUAAUCGGUUUAUUCUUAUAUUUAACUCCAAGUAUACUCGAUAUUAUGUUUUGUGUAUGUCUAUGUGGAAAUUUUCAAACAUGUCCUAAAGAAUUCCAUGUUAGUGCUAUAAAAUGAAUUUCUUUGAUAUUUGCAUGUACAAUUGAUUUAGGGUUGUGGUAUUCGAAAGGAAACGAGUUGAAUUUGAAUCGGUAUUCAGAUGUUGGAUUUAUUGGGUGUAAAGUUGAUAAAAAUAGUACUAAUGAAACUUGUUAUUUUAGGAUCAUCACUAGUAUCUUGGGCUAGUAAAAAACAAAACUCAAUAGCCCUAUCAACAACUGAAGUCGAAUAUAUUAUAGCGGGUAGUUGUUGUGCAUAAAGUUUAUGGAUAAAACAAACCUUAAAAGACUCUGGUCUUAAUUUUGAUAAUAUAUUGUUGGUUAAUUGUGUUUAAUUGUUUAUUUAAAUUAAUCACAAUAUUUGUAAAUAUUAGUUGAACACCUAAUUCAACUCUUUUAGGUGUUAUUAUUGCCUUAAUCUUAGAACAACAAUUUCCAAAAAUAUACGUUACUCCUCCUAUUUUUCACUUUAUCACUUUUUAGCCCUUUUAGUUUUUUAAAAUGCAUUUUAGUCCAAAAUUUUAUUUUUCUUGUUUCUUAGUCUUUGUUUUAGAGUGGAGGGAUAAAUUCGUUAGAUUCCAAUGAUAGAGAGAGAAAAUAUUUGUUGACAUCAAUUUAGAUCACUAAAAAAGUCAAUUUUGAUGUUAAUGGGUUCCAAUCGAUGAGAUGAGUUGUAAUGGGGUGUUAUUUGGCCUUCCUAUUGCUUGAGAUGAUAUAUUUGAGCUCAACAAGGUUUUUGAAUUCUGGUUGAUUUUAGGUUUAUGGACAUGUUUUUAGGUUAUUUGAUCCCAUAAACAAGCUUAACAAGGUCUUUAGGGUAUUUUCUAAGUGUUUUAGGUCACAAAUAGGUUGAAAAAAUAAAUUUUAUGAAAAAAAUACUACUACCCUAAUUUUUCAGCGACUCUCUAUUCGUUGGAUUCUGGAGACGUAGAUGACAUGUCUUUUGCCUCGUUUUAUUUUUUAAAUAGUGAGCAGACGAUGUGUUGUCCACCCUCUAUUAUUAGAAAAAAAAAAAAAGGCUCAACGUGCCAGCCAUGCCUAUGUUUAUGGGCCAGAUGUGUGGCUUGGCCUGCGCACUUGGCUGAAUUGAUAUUUUUUAAAAUGAUAUUUUUUUUAAUGCUUUUUUAGCUCUUUAAAAUUAAAAAAAAAUUUCGUCCUUCGUCAUUUAAGUUUCUCUUUUUGUUAUUUUCAUUAAAAAAAAAAAACCUUUUUGUUUAUCCAACUUUAAAAAAGGCUAUUUUUUCUUUUUUUAGCCCCACACUUCGUGUGACUAAAUAAAGAAUAAUUUAAGAGAUAGAAAGUUAUUAAAUUCAAUAUGAUACAUGACCCAAAUCAUGAGUUUAAUAGGUUGAUUUAAAUUUACUUGGGUCUUUUUUUUUGUCUUUUUUGAAUUGAAUAUUUUUAAUUUUUAAUUUAGUCUUUCAACAUUCAGUUCCUUGGGUAUUGAGCCUUGUUAUUUGUUUUGAUUUGCUUUAGAUGGAUUAUCAUGGUCUUAUGAUUUAGGUUGCAAAUUGAGCUGGUUAAUCUUGAUUAACUCAGGUCGAUCUAAUAUGUUGUUGUUACAAUAUUUGAGAAAAUAAUUAUUCAAUAUAUCAUCAUCUCAAUAUUAAAAAAAUAUAUCAUAAAAUAUGUGUUGGAUUUUGUAUUCAUGAUUAAUUCUUUUUCAGAAAACACAUCAUCAAUCCCUAAAGGUUUUUUUUUUUUUUUUUGCAUUAGAAAAAAAGAUUUAUGGAAAAGUGUGUUUUUAAAAUCUUUCAGUUCAAAAAUAUUGUUAUUGUUAAAUAAAAAUAAUAAUUUCUUUCCCCUCAAGAUUGUGUCGCUCAUCCAAAAUGAUUAAUAUAAUCAUAAUAUUUUUUUAUUUUUAAAAAAUAUUAAAUUGAUAAUAAUUUUAAUGAUUUUAAUAAAAAAAUAAAAAGUUAUUUUAAAGUGUUUUUACAUAUUAAUAAACAUUUUAUACACAAUUAUUAUGCUGCCAUCAACAUUUACAUUAAAAAAUAUAUAACUCUCUUUCACUAUAGUCAAAUAACCCUCGAAGGUUUAUCCUUUUAAUAAAUUAUUGUAUUUGGUAUUAGUUCAUCUUAAAAAAAAUUAUAUGUUUUUUAUACAUAUCAUCAACAAGUUUGGUUAUUUUCUAUUUCCAUAGCCGAUUUUAUCUUAUGACAAUAUUAUAAAGAGAGGUUUAUCAGCUUUUAUUGCAAACUAAAUUCUCUUCUUCUUCUUUUUUUCUAUUGAUACUCAUCUAAAUUUUAGGCUAACAUAUGAAUUUUAAAACGUUUAUUUUUAUUUUAAAUAUAAACAAAAAUAAUGCUAUAUAAUUGAUUAAUUUUUAGAAUUAGAAAAACUAUUUAAUUUAUUAUUAAAAUAAAAACCAAGAGACUAAUUUAUAAUUUAUUGUGUUAUUGAGUUUAUUUGUCUAAAAAUAUGCAAUGUGUAUUUAUGAUAUGUUAAACCGUUUAUUAUUGUGGUAAUUUUUAUUUUUUUAUUUAAUUAUAAAGAAAUUUUUUUUUGAUUAGUCAAAUAAUUUAUAUUUUUAAAUUGAACCCCACAUAUAAUUACAUUUCAAACAUUAAUUUUAUAAAAACUAAAAUAAUUUUUUUAUCUCACAACAAUUUUAACUAAACAGUUUAUAUUUUUAAAAUUACUAAUAAAAUUACUUAUUAAAUUCUUUUUUAAAAAAACUGCAAUUGCAUAAGCUAAACACUACCUAAUCUAACUUGCGUUUUGAAUUUUGUUAUCUUGACGGUGAGAUCAGCUGGCUUAAGGUUUUUAAAUUAUUUGACUGGAUGAUGAGCUGAGAGAGGUUUCUAUUAUCAUUACUUGUUAUUUUAAUGAAAGCUUCGUGUAUUCAAUUCAUGGAAGUCUGUACAAUGACAAUAAUGCCCUGAGGUAAAAGGAUUGGUGAGGGAGUUCCAUUUGUGUUACGGUGAACCAUACUUCUAACCUUCUUUUUUUAUUUUAUUGUAUUAGUUGCGAAUAAGUUCUUUAUUAUAUUUGAUUAUAGGAGUAAUUGACUGAUUUAUUUUUAUACAUUGGAUAGUAUUCUUUGACAUGUUCAUCCUUAUAUAUUUAUUAUUUUCUCCCAUAUAUUGUUUUUUUAUUAUUAUUUGAUAAAAUACCCCUCAAAUUAUAAGAACAUUAAAAAAAAAGGGUGAAACUUAACUAUAAAAAAUUAAAGAAACUUGAAAACUUUAGGAAAAGAACUUACAAAACAUAAUAACAAUAAAAAGAAAAAAGAAAAAAAAUGAAAGUACCUAGUAAAAUCUAAAGGUUAAAAAAUUGAUCUGAUUUUGUAGGACACGAGUUCUAAACAUUUUUCAUUAGUCUCUAUGUUUUUUCUAUAUUUUUAUUAAUUAUUUUAAUUUUUUUGAAAUAUUCAAAGUUUUUGUCUUUCUGAAUUUUUUAAUUUUUUUAGUUUUUUUGUUCUUAGAUUCGGUUAAUUUUUUAAAAAAUUGUAAUUUUUUAUAUCCUUAUAAAUAUAUAAGGAUAUAUGAAUUUUAAGAAAAUUCUCACAUGGAGAAAUAUGUUCAAGGAUCGAUGAAUAUAAUGUCCUUAAAUCAUAUCUCUCUCUUUUUGAAAAUUGAAAUUCACUUGCCAAUAAUUAUUCUUCUAACUUGAAUUUUGAUUUUCAAUUAUAAAAUUUUCUUUCUUUUCUUUAUUUUUUCCUAAGAAUAUAUUUAGAAAGUUUGUUUUCGUGUUAAUAAUUUUAAUGUGUUAAUAUAUAUAUAUAUAUAUAUAUAGACAGAGACACCGACCAUUAAUCUUACUAAAACAAAUAUAUCAAAUAAUAUGUGGUAAAUUACCAAUUGAGUUGGACUAGAGAUCCCUAUCUGCCCACUUAGUGAUGGAAUCAGGAUGACUCGAGCCGCUGAGUAAAAGGUGAUGAGUGUUGGUUGGAAGACAGCUAGAAUGGCGUCGACACCAUGAGCACUAACAAUCUGGCAACAUUCCACUUGUCAUGAUAUGAUUAGGGGGCGCAUUGAGGGAAGCAAAAUGCGUGGAAUGGUUCUCUUAUUUUAAGAGAAGGUGACUUGUCAACACGCAAAGAGAAACAAUAAGACAUACUCGAAUGACAGAAGACAUUGGGAAAAGAUGAUGGUGAACCAAUUUGCAACAAUAAUUUACAUUUAGGAGUCAAUAAAUAUACUUAUCAUUUUGACAUGACUCUUUUAAUAAUGACCCAUGGUUUUUUUAUAAUAAUUAUGUCUCCAAUUUUUAAAUUUAUAUUUAUUUACUAAUUCUUUGUGUAUAUACAUAUUGUGGUUUUCUUCGGUUUUUUAUGGAAUAUAUAUAUCAACAAAAACAAAAAAAGGAACUAAGCCUAGAGGUCAUUUACUGGACACACCUGCAUUGUCCAUCUUUUUACAAAUCAUUAUUGAUUAAAAAAGUGGUCUUUUUUUUAAUUUUAAUCUCUCUUUUUUUACUGAAUCCUUUUCUAGCCAAGUCGAUGGUCAAUUAUUUCAAAAUUGUUAACAAAAACUAAAAUUAAAGGAUAAACGACCAAAGAGAAAAUAGGUGGUUGUUUCUAUUGAUCUUUAGGUAAUAUAUUUAUGAUUUUAUAUAUAUUUUGAUGAUGAUAAUAAUAUCAAAAUUAUAUUAAUAAUAUGCUUAGUUGAGAAUAAGCAUUAAACAUGUAAGAAUACAUCAACAAGCAUGGAUCAAGUCCAAGAAGGAAGCAAAAUGAAUUUUUCAUUUUAGUGCUCAUAUAUAAAUCUUUAUAUCCUACUUGAUAAUACUAACAAAAAUGAAUUCACACACUUCACUUUGCAUACAUUUUAAAAGGAUUAAUAAAACGGUUCUAAGAAUUCAUCAGGUUUAAAACUAUCAAAACUAGAAUUAUGUGUGAACUAGUUGAUCGUUUGGUGAUACCAAAUGUUAUUUAGUGAGUUAUAGACAUCAUAGUUUUCAAUUGUAUCUACUCUUUGAAAGAGUAUUGUUACAUUUCAAACAAUUGUAAACCUUCAAGAGUUUAGGAGAAAAACUAUUAGUCAUUGGUGAGAUGCAUCACCAAGGUAAAAAAUCUUGAAGUUGAGAUUUCUUCAAGUAGUGGAAAAAAAAGGGCUCAAUAAGGAUUCACCAAGGACAUUGUAAUAUCUGGCUUGGAUUAGUUAAUAAUAUAAUACUCAAGACCGGCUUGGUGCAUGAGGUGUGGAUGUGAGUUUGUUGAACCACAUUAAAAAUCGAGUUUGCAAUCUCUCUUCCUUAUCCUUUUACUUUACGCAAUUUAAUUAUAUUGUUGGUUAAUUGUGUUUAAUUGUUUUUUAAUUAAUUGCAAUAUGUGUUAAUAUUAGUGGAACAUCUAAUUCACUCAUUUAGGUGUUAUUGUUACCUUAAUCCUAUAACAAUAAUUGGCAUUAGAGUCUGGUUCUCAUUUAUAAGUUUGCUUAGACUUUGAGUAGAAUUGCAACCAUUAGUUUUAAUGUACAAAAUAAAGGAUCAUCAACCUCUAGGCCACCUUUCUUUGAUGGUAAUGACUAUGCCUAUUGGAAAGCUAUGAUGAUUCUAUAUCUUCAAUCGAUUGAUUAUUGAUUAGUACUUAAAAGUGCAUUUUUAUCAAGGUUUUAUAUCAUCAUUUUGCACUUGAAGUAUCUAUAACUCCUUAACUAAAGCAUGUUUUAUAAUAACAAGUCUGAUACCAUAAGAUACCUUUAAUUUAUGGUAAAUGUUUAUCUUAAAUGCAGGCCUAUCACAUAAAUGAAAGGAUUGAUUGAUGAGUUUAAGUACGGAAAUUGAAAGGACAAAGAGAGGGCCAAACUUAGUAAAGAGAUGUUGGUUCAGUCCAAACUGGAACACUGUUCGGUCAUCGGGUCAUAUCUGGAGCUGUAGAUCUUGGAUUUAUGUCUGCCUUAUAUGGAUGGAAAGCUAAGAAAUAGGCCUAAAACUUUCAUGGGAGUCCAAGAUUUAAAAAGGCUGUUUUCAAGUCCAAAUUGUAGCAACAAUGGAGAAGUCUGAAUCUGUCCUGCAGCCCAGACACUGUUCAAUGUUUAGCCCAUAUCUCGAGUUUUAGAACUCCAAAUGACCUCCAAUUUUUAACCUGGAAAGCUGAGACAAUUUCCUAGAACUUUCAUGAUUUAAGUCUGUUCAAAUUAUGAUGUUAUCAAUUACGUUUUUGGCAGACAAUAAGAUAAGGAUUGUCACCAAGUCAAGAUGUGGCCACCUACUCAACAAUUAGUCAACAAAUCAAUAAUUCUGAAUUUUGGCCUAUAAAAGGAGGUAUUUGCCAUGUAUUUAGGCAUCUUGGUUUUUAGAUCAAGAUCAUGCUCUUGCUCUCUCUUUAUAUUUUGUAAUGCUUAAGUUUUGCUUAUAUUAAUCUCUUACUUAUGCUUUUCAUUUCCUUUCCUUGUUUAUUUAUGUUUCUCUCUUUCAUUAUGUUUAGUUAAGUUUAUCAUGUCAAGGUGAAAAGGUUACACUAAUGGUGUAAGAAUAAGUAUAAUAUAAACUCAACAUGGACCUUAAUAUUUGAUACUAACAUGUUUUAUAUUUGUUAUCUUGUUCACUUUUAAUACUUUGCUUGUUAAAUGGUUAAUCUAGAUUUAUGUUGUAUAACCCUUGGUAGAACAAAUACUUGGCACUUUCAUAGCCCAACCAUAUGGUAUAACCGACACCUGUGCUAUGAAAGGAAUUUGAUUUGUUGUUAACAUAAGUUAUAAUCAUGAAUGCCUGACAACAUUUACAAGUAUUAGCAUUAUUCAAAUAAGAUAACUAAUGUAAUCAUGUUAAUAAUUUAUAAUCCGAUUGGAACCUCCUUUGUGUGUGGUUUCCAGUUGAGUAAUAAAAAGAGUUUAUACUAUACUUGUUUGAAAUACCAUUAGUGGAUCCUCUAACCUUGACAAUUAUUUUAUCAUUGUUUAAUCUUUAUAUCAAUAUCACAUCUCAAAGCUCUCUUUGUUAUUAUUAUUGUUGUUGUUGUUGUUGUUGUUUAUAAUUUAUACAAUUAACCUCCUUGUGGUUCGACCCCGGUCUUGCCGGGUUAUUUAUUACUUCGACACUCCUGCACUUGGGAGAAAACAUCAAUCUUUUGGUCGUGUCAAGUUUUUGGCGCCGUUGCCGGGGAGGUAAAUUCUUGUAAAAUUAUAAUAUUUAUUUUAUUUUCUCUUUUCACCUUUCAUUUUAUCUAACUUUUGUUUUGUUUUGUUUUGUUUCCUUUUCUUUUCUUCUUUUUAUUCUCUUCCUACACGUGCACGAGAGUUUGGUCACGUACAUUAAGUGGUAGACUUUGUAGGGUAUCCUUAUCAUUUUCAGAAAAUAUGGCCGAAGAAGAUAACCAGUCGCUUCAUAACGAGAAUAAUGAGAAUAUUCGUGUUAGAACACUUAGAGACCACAUGAAUCCCACAAGAACAAGUGCACCCUCAUGCAUAGUUUUUCCUCCUGAUGCAUCUCAUUUUAAUUUUAAGCCAGGCAUUAUUCAACUUUUACCUUGUUUUCAUGGCUUAGAUUUAGAAAAUCCAUACUUGCAUUUAAGGGAAUUUGAGGAGGUCUGUAACACCUAUAAUGACUCAAAUUAUAGCAUGAACACCAUCAGGUUAAAGCUUUUUCCUUUUUCAUUAAAAGAUAAAGCUAAAACAUCUACAAAAUUUGAGACCAGGAUCUAUUUGUGCUUGGGAUGAAAUGCAACAAUAAUUUUUAAAGAAAUUUUUUCCAUCUCCCAGAACAAACUCUUUCAAAAAACAAAUCAUCACUUUCACUCAAAAACCAAGAGAAACAUUUUACCAAUGUUGGGAUAGGUAUCGAGACUUGCUUAAUACUUGCCCUCAUCAUGGUUUUGAGACAUGGAGAUUAGUUUCACAUUUUUAUGAAGGGUUAACACCUAGAGAUAGGCAAAUGGUUGAAUUGAUGUGCAAUGAAACUUUUGAGGAUAAAGACCCUAAUGAAGCAAUGGAGUACCUAGACUUGCUAGCUGAAAAUGCUCAAAAUUAGGAUACUACAGGCACUUAUGAGGCACCAAGUAAAACCCAACCUCAUACAUCUAGUGGAGGUAUGUACAACCUUAGGGAAUAUCAUGACCUCCAAGCCAAGUUUACAUCUUUAGCUAGAAAAGUUGAGGCACUAGAAUUAAAAAGGAGUGGUCAACUAAAAUCUGUUCAAGACAUUGUGUGUCAAAUCUGUGAAACUAAUGAACAUUCAACCAAUGACUGUCCAACUUUGCCUUCUUUUAAGGAAUGUCUCCAUGAACAAGCUCAUGCUUUAAACAGUUUCCAAAGGCCCAAUCAUAACCUAUACUCGCAAACAUACAACCCUGGUUGGAGAAAUCACCCAAAUUUCAAUUGGAAGAGUGAUAAUAAUAAUGCACAAACUUCACAGCCACCGUUUCAAGCACACCAUAAUUUUCAAAAUUCUCAUGGAUAUGCACCUCCUUAUGCUCCACCUCCUAGAAGAAAUCUUGAGGAAACAUUGCAUGCAUUCAUUGAAAAGCAAGAGACAAUCAACACUCAACUUGCUCAAAGCAUGACAGAUUUUAAAGAUACUCUUGCAAAAUUGACAUAUGCUCUCAGUUUUCAAGAGAAAAGUAAGUUUCCAUCUCAACCAUAACAAAAUCCAAAGGGGCAAUACAAUGUGAAUGCAAGUAGUUCUGGAAGCCAACACAUGGAUCAAGCCAAAUCAGUCAUCACUCUUCGCAGUGGUAAGGUUAUUGAAAAACCCAUUCUUGAACCUUGUGAGAAAGAUGAUGAGUCAAUCUCUGAGGGUAAGGAAGGGGUUGAAUCUGAACAUUGCAAAAAAAAGACUGAUUCCCCACCAACACUUCCAUUUCCUCAUGCCAUGACCAAACAAAGAAAAGUCAAUCACAACUCUGAAAUCUUUGAAACUUUCAAACAAGUAAGGAUCAAUAUACCUUUGUUGGAUGCUAUUAAACAAGUUCCUUCUUAUGCUAAAUUUUUUAAAGAUCUGUGCACUGUGAAGAGAAAACUGAAUGUGAAAAAGAAAGUCUUUUUAUCCGAACAAGUAAGUGCCAUUCUUCAGAACAAUAAUGCUUCGAAAUAUAAAAACCCUGGUUGUCCUACAAUUUCAUGCUUUAUUGGAGAACAUAAAAUUGAAAGAGCUUUACUUGAUCUUGGAGCUAGUGUGAAUUUACUUCCAUAUUCAGUUUUUUAAAGUCUCAAUCUAGGUGAGUUAAAACCAACUUCUGUAACUCUUUUACUUGCCGAUAGAUCUGUAAAAGUGCCUAGAGGAAUACUUGAAGAUGUGUUAGUACAAGGCGAUAAAUUCAUUUACCCUGUGGAUUUUAUUGUCUUGGAUACACAACCUGUUGAAGCAUGUAAUUCAUUUCCUGUUAUUUUAGGACGUCCGUUUCUUACAACUUCUAAUGCAUUGAUUAAUUGUAGGAAUGGACUGAUGAAGCUAUCAUUUGGAAACAUGACAUUGGAGAUGAACAUUUUCAAUAUUUGCAAGCAACCUGGAGAUGAUAAUGAUUUACAGGAAGUGGACUUUACUGAAAAAUUAGUUCAUGAUCAAUUUCAAACCACUUCUAGUGAAACUGAGAUUGAUGAAUCUGACGAUUUGCAAAUGGUUUAUUUUCAGGAAGAAUCAAAGGAAAAUAGUUGGAGACCGAAAAUUAAGGAAUUGCCACCACGAUCAAUUGAGUCCAUACCUUCAAGUGUUCAACCACCAAAACCUGAUUUGAAGCCCUUACCAUUCAAUCUCAAAUACUCAUUUUUUGGAGAAAAUGAAACUUUUCCGGUAAUAAUCUCUUCCAAACUUAAUGCACUUCAAGAAGGUAAGUUAUUACAAACUCUGAAAAUGCACAAAAAUGCAUUAGGAUGGACCAUAGCUGACAUAAAAGGAAUUAGUCCUUUGAUUUGCACACACAGGAUUUAUUUGGAGGAAAAUGCUAAACCCUCUAGAGAAAUGCAACGAAGGCUUAAUCCUAAUAUGAAAGAAGUAGUGAAAAAUAAAGUCAUUAAGCUUCUAGAUAAUGGAAUCAUUUAUCCUAUUUCUGACAGCAAAUGGGUAAGUCCUACCCAAAUUGUACCCAAGAAGUUUGGAGUCAUUGUGAUAACAAAUGAGAAAAAUGAGUUAAUUCCAACUAGGACUAUUACUGGUUGACGCAUGUGCAUUGACUAUAGGAAACUUAAUUCAAUGAUUAGAAAAGAUCAUUUUCCUUUACCUUUCAUGGAUCAAAUCCUAGAAAGAGUUGCAGGUCAUGAAUUUUAUUGUUUCCUAGAUGGUUAUUCAGGUUAUAACCAAAUUGAAAUUGCAUUGGAAGAUCAAGAGAAGACUACUUUCACAUGUCCAUUUGGUACUUUUACAUAUCGAAGGAUGCCUUUUGGAUUAUGCAAUGCACCAGUCACAUUUCAAAGAUGCAUGCUCAGUAUAUUUAGUGAUAUGGUUGAACGUUUUCUUGAAAUUUUUAUGGAUGAUUUUUCUGUUUUUGGCGAUUCAUUUGAUGAUUCUUUGACUAACUUAGAAAAGGUUUUGAGCAGGUGUGAAGAGAAGAAUCUUGUACUGAAUUGGAAAAAAUAUCACUUUAUGGUAACAAACGGCAUUGUACUUGGUCACAUUGUUUCAUCGAAAGGAAUUGAGGUUGACAAAUCUAAAAUCGAGUUAAUUGCUAACACCAAAAUCUGUUAAAGAUGUUAGAUCAUUCUUAGGACAUGCUGGUUUUUAUAGAAGGUUCAUCAAAGAUUUUAGUGUGAUAUCCAAGCCCUUGAGUAACCUUCUAACAAAGGAUAAUAUUUUUGAAUGGACUAAACAUUGUGAAGAAGCCUUUGUUAAACUGAAAAACUUGCUUACUUCUUCUCCUGUCAUUCAACCUCCUGAUUGGUCAUUACCUUUUGAAAUAAUGUGUGACGCUAGUGAUUAUGUUGUGGGUGCUGUCUUGGGACAAAGAAAAGAUAAGAAACCUUAUGUGAUUUACUAUGCAAGUAAAACUUAAAUAGUGCUCAAAUGAAUUACACCACCACUGAAAAAAGAAUUACUUGCAGUAGUAUUUGCAUGUGAAAAAUUCAGGUCUUAUCUUGUUGGCUCACCUGUUAUUGUUUUUAGUGAUUAUGCAGCAUUGAAAUAUCUUCUUUCUAAGAAAGAUUCUAAAGCUAGAUUGGUUCGGUGGAUUUUGUUACUUCAAGAAUUUGAUAUCACAAUCAAAGACAAGAAAGGCACCGAAAAUUUUGUCGCAUAUCACUUGUCAAGAUUGACAACAGAUUCGAGAUCUGACAUCACACCAAUCAAUGACUACUUUCCCGAUGAAUCUUUAUUUUUUGUCUCUACAAUGCCUUGGUAUGCUAAUAUUGUUAAUUUUCUUGUUUCAGGACAAUUGUCAGCUCAUUGGAGUACCCAAGACAAAAGAAAGUUCUUGAACGAAGUAAAGAACUUUUAUGGGGAUGACCUUUAUUUAUUCAAAUAUUGUCCUGAUCAAAUAUUUCAAAGAUGCAUUCCUGACAAUGAGGUAAGUAGUAUCAUUAAAUUUUGUCAUUUUGAGGCAUGUGGAGGUCAUUUCUCAUCAAGAAAGACCACUGCAAAAAUCUUACAAAGUGGAUUUUACUGGCCCACCAUGUUCAAGGACUCACAUGCAUUCUGCAACACUUGUGAAAAUUGUCAAAAGUUGGGAUCUAUUUCAAAACGUCACAUGAUGCCUUUAAAUCCUAUUCUUGUCAUUGAGAUCUUUGACUGUUGGGGUAUAGAUUUCAUGGGUCCAUUUCCUCCAUCAUUUGGUUUCUUGUACAUAUUAGUCGCAGUAGAUUAUGUUUCAAAAUGGAUAGAGGCAAUUCCAAGUCGAAACAAUGACCACAAAACAGUGAUAAAGUUCUUGAAAGAAAAUAUUUUGAGUCGAUUUGAAAUCCCUCGGGCCAUGAUAAGUGAUGGUGGAACACAUUUUUGCAACAAGUUAUUUGAGUCUUUAAUGAAAAAAUAUGGAAUCACACACAAAGUUGCCACCCUUUAUCACCCUCAGACAAGUGGACAAGUAGACCUUGCUAAUAGGGAGAUCAAACAGAUCUUGGAGAAAACAAUAAACCUUAAUACGAAAGACUGGUCUUUAAGACUUAAUGAUGCACUUUGGGCUUAUCGAACUGCAUAUAAAACAUCAUUAGGUAUGUCACCUUAUAGAUUAGUCUAUGGAAAACCUUGUCACUUGCCUGUGGAACUUGAACAUAAAGCUUGUUGGGCUAUUAAAGCUUUCAAUUCUAACCUUGAUGAUGCUAGUCAGCUGCAAAAAUUAUAAAUAAAUGAGCUUGAGGAAAUAAGAAAUGAUGCAUAUGAGAAUUCAAAAAUUCAUAAAGCAAGAAUCAAAGAGUUUCAUGACAAGAGAAUCUUCAGAAAAACAUUUGAUGUUGGUCAAAAAGUUUUGCUUUAUAAUUCUCGACUCCAUUUAUUUCCUAGAAAGCUAAGAUCAAGAUGGAGCGGUCCAUUUAUUGUGAAACAUGUGUAUCCAUAUGGGGCCUGUGAUAUCGAGAAUCCAAAGAAUGACAAUGUUUUCAAGGUAAAUGGACAUUGUUUGAAAGUUUGUUUUGACAAUUUUUUAGUUGAAAAUGACUCUAUUGAAUUAAGUGAUCCUGUAUAUAAAGAUUGAUUCUUUUUCUCACAUUGUUUUGUGUUUCAUUUUGGUGUGAAUUUUGUUUUGCUAGUCUCUCUCACCCCGGUCAAAUGGCGGAUAACAGUACUCCAUGACUUAAGUCGGUUCUUUCAGUUUCCCAUAAUAACUGAUAUAUGUAUAUAUUUGUGCAAUUCUUUGCUCUUUCUCCCUUCUUUGAAUAUCUUCUCCAACUCUCAUUUGAAAAUGGACACCACUCUUGAAAAAUUGAAAAAGUACUUUCCCGCUCUGCCUUAGAAUGCGAUUACAAAAAUUUACCGUGCUAGGUGUGCAAGAUUGAGGUUGUUAAUGAAUCAUGGAAUUCCUGAAGAUAUUCGUUGGCUGAUUGAAGCAAAGAUCUGAUUAUCAGGUGAGUACUCCAAUUCUUUCAUCUCAUACAUGCCUGGAACAGGUAAAAGCACUUUUGCAAAGAAACGUCGUGCAAAACGACUGAAACUCUACCACCGAUGUGCCAGAUGGACUUGUAAUGCAACAUGUCGUUCUUUAGGAAUGGUAUCUAUAAACCGUGAAGAUAAAAUACAAUUCAUUAAGGAUGGCCUGAGUAAGGGGUCUUUAGAUAAUCUUCUAUUGACUCUUGAGACGCAUCCUGGUGGAGAUGUGCAUCGUGCAAUUCAUGAUUUAUGGCCACAAUUCCAUAAAGAACAUGAUAGACUUAGUCUUGGGAAUCUAACUAUAAAAGACCCUGUUUGCCAGUUUUUAAGAAAACUGGAUGGGAAGCCUAUCCCCGACCCAUAGAGGGCGUUUAAGCUGUUCUUGGACGUAAAACCAAGGGAAGAUGUGAGCCACAAUCACAACUACCUGUACAUACACAUGCUUUUUCAAAAUAAGUAAGUAAAUAAAUAGAGAGAGUGUGUGAGACUCCAGCUAGCCUACAUAUAAGUGGUAUGAUUGUAUUUUUAAUUUCUCAUCUAUAAAAUAUUUUCUUUCUUCCCUUCAUUUCUACUUAACCCAUACAUUCAACUCUUAUUAGGAUGGCAGAGUAAGGAGGAAUUUUAUUGACUCUUGAGACGCAUCUUAGUAAAUAGUUUUAUCAAGGCCUAUCAGAAUACUUCUUGAAAUAUUCAUGUUUACAAACUCUCGCAUUGUUAUCACUUGAUUCUGCUCAUAUACUCAUUUAACAAGUAUUCUUAAACCUUUAUUUUCACACACACACUCUAACAUAUGAUUGUGGGUCACACAUUGGAUUAUUACAUUAUUUAUGUUCUUUUGUUAAAGGUAACAACUAAGGAAAAAGGGAUAGUAUAUAAUUUGAAAAAAAAAACAAAUUGAUAAUAUUGAUGAUAAUAAAAACGUAGAUAAGUUUGGUUUCGUAGCCUCCCUAACCUAAGCAAUUAAGCCCGAAGAGGUGUUUUAACACCUAAUACCCUAAAGUCAACUGACUUGGGAGCUAUUGGUCCAAAACUUGUUACAUGGGUUAAGGAGAAAAGCUUAAGAAAAUCAAACAUUGCAUUAUCUACGUAUUAGUAUCUGCAACUCAAGUUACUAAGCUCGUAGGGGUGUCUCAACACCUAAUGCUCUAAGACCAACUGGUCUAGGAGUCAUUAGCCGAAAGCUCGUUACAUGGGUUAAAGAUGCAUUGUAUUUUAAGUUAUAUGUAUAUAUAUUUAAAAGAAAAAAAAGAGAAAAAAAAAAGAAAAAAAAGAAGAUAAUAAUCUCAACCCAAGAAAGUUAACCUUAAACAUUAGAAUAGAAUAUUAUUUUCUUCCAAUAAAAGCCCCAUCAUCUAUGUUUUCAUACAUUGAGCAUAUAAAAAGGAAGAUUUAUUAAUAUUUUGUUUAAGAGAUAUUGAGCAAAUAUAUAAAUUUAAUGAGAGUUUGUUUAUCUGGAUAGAUUAAUGGAAGUUGAAUGAUGAAUGCCUUGCUUUGUGGAAUUUGCAAAUUGUUUUUCUAUUUUAACGCUUUGAUUACUAGGGACUAGUAAUAAGCUGGUUGGGGGGGUGUGAUUAGUACUUAAAAAUGCAUUUUUAUCAAGGUUUUAUAUCAUCAUUUUGCACUUGAAGUAUCUACAACUCAUUAACUAAAGCAUGUUUUAUAAUAACAAGUCUGAUACCAUAAGAUACCUUUAAUUUAUGGUAAAUGUUUAUCUUAAAUGCAGGCCUAUCACAUAAAUAAAAGGAUUGAUUGAUGAGUUUAAGUACAGAAAUUGAAAGGACAAAGAGAGGGCCAAACUUAGAAAAGAGAUGUUGGUUCAGUCCAAAUUGGAACACUGUUCGGUCAUCGGGUCAUAUCUGAAGCUGUAGAUCUUGGAUUUAGAUCUGCCUUAUAUGGAUGGAAAGCUAAGACAUAGGCCUAAAACUUUCAUAAGUCCAAGAUUUAAAAAGGCUGUUUUCAAGUCCAAAUUGUAGCAACAAUGGAGAAGUCUGAAUCUGUCCUGCAGCCCAGACACUGUUCAGUGUUCAGCCCAUAUCUCGAGUUUUAGAAGUCCAAAUGACCUCUAAUUUUUAGCUUGGAAAUCUGAGACAAUUUCCUAGAACUUUCAUGAUUUAAGUCUGUUCAAAUUAUGACGUUAUCAAUGACCUUUUUGGCAAACAAGAAGAUAAGGAUUGUCACCAAGUCAAGAUGUGGCCAUCCACUCAACAAUUAGUCAACAAAUCAAUAGUUCCGAAUUUUAGCCUAUAAAAGGAGGCAUUUGCCAAGUAUUUAGGCAUCUUGGUUUUUAGAUCAAGAUCAUGCUCUUGCUCUCUCUUUAUAUUUUGUAAUGCUUAAGUUUUGCUUAUAUUAAUCUCUUACUUAUGCUUUUCAUUUCAUUUCCUUGUUUAUUUAUGUUUCUCUCUUUCAUUAUGUUUAGCUAAGUUUAUCAUGUCAAGGUGAAAAGGUUACACUAAUGGUGUAAGAAUAAGUAUAAUAUAAACUCAACAUGGACCUUAAUAUGUGAUACUAACAUGUUUUAUAUUUGUUAUCUUGUUCACUUUUAAUACUUUGCUUGUUAAAUGGUUAAUCUAGAUUUAUUUUGUAUACCUUUGGUACAACAAAUACUUGGCACUUUUAUAGCCCAACCAUAUGGUAUAACCGACACCUGUGCUAUGAAAGGAAUUUGAUUUGUUGUUAACAUAAGUUAUAAUCAUGAAUGCCUGACAACAUUUACAAGUAUUAGCAUUAUUCAAAUAAGAUAACUAAUGUAAUCAUGUUAACAAUUUAUAAUCCGAUUGGAACCUCCUUUGUGUGUGGUUUCCAGUUGAGUAAUAAAAAGAGUUUAUACUAUACUUGUUUGAAAUACCAUUAGUGGAUCCUCUAACCUUGACAAUUAUUUUAUGCUUGUUUAAUCCUUAUAUCAAUAUCACAUCUCAAAGCUCUCUUUGUUAUUGUUGUUGUUGUUAUUGUUGUUGUUGUUGUUGUUUUUUAUAUACAAUUAACCUCCCUGUGGUUCGACCCCGGUCUUGCCGGGUUAUUUAUUGCUUCGACACUCCUGCACUUGGAAGAAGACAUCAAUUUUUUGGUCGUGUCAAUUAUAAAAUAUAAGGAUAGAGAAUAGACCUUUUAAACCUACCAGAACCGAAAAUGGUGUUACAAUUCCUAAGGCUAUGAGUGAGUAUAUGAUGGAAAUGGUGUUACAUUAUCCAUUGCAUGAAAAGUGUUAAAGACUCUUUAUGGUACUCACACACAAGAUCAUAUUCAACAAAUCAAUGGCGAGUUACAGUCCUUGAAUAAAUGUACUUAUUCUUUAAAAGAUUAUUUACACAAAGAAAAAUCUUUGGUUGUCUCUUUAUGGUGCAGGAAAACCAAUGGAUGACGAUGAGUUCAUCAUUUGCAUUUUUCAAGGAUUAGGAUCUGAAUUUGAUCUUAUAGUAGCAACAUUGAAUGCAAGAGAUAUUUUUCCAUCUUUUGAAGGAGUUAUUGGCAAACUCCGUGAAUUUGAAAUUCGACUUCAAGGAGCACGAGCAACUACUUCCAACAUUGGUUUUUAUACAAAUCGUGGCUGAAAAAACUCAAAGCCAUGGGUGAACCCCGGCACUCAAGGCUACAAUAAUCACAAUUUCACUAGAAGAAAUUCCACGGACAGUACUUCAUCAUCACGAGCUAAAAAGACUUGAUUCCCUCACUUUAAUAUAGGCUCAUCUAGAACUCGUCAGAAAUAAUUCUCACAUAAUGGUGGUCGUGGAUGGCAUCACUUGUUUUCAAUGUGGGGGGGCUUAAUCACAAAGCAGCCAGAUGUUUUGCUUCUGAUGAAGAUCAAUAAAAAGCUUUUGCUAAUAUCAAAAUUAGAGAAACUACAGAAGAGAUCUGGUAUUCUGUCACUGGUACAAACCAACUUAUGACCUCUAACACAAAUGAAGUUCAAGGUAUUAACUCUUAUCUUGGCAAUGAUUCUUUCAUGGUUGGUAAUGGUCAUGACUUGCCUAUCACUAGCACUUGACACAUUAUUUUUCUUACCACUAAUUUUAAGUUAAAUGAUGUUCAUGUGGUUCCUGCAAUUAAGAAGAAACUAUCAUAUGUCUCUCAAUUUAUAAGAGAAAUUAAUUGUUAUUUUUUGUUUUAUCCAUGGGGAUUUGUUUUCAAGGACAUGAAGAUGAAGUAGGUAGUCCUUAAGGGCUCCAUAAAGGAUGGUUGUAUCCGAUCAACCUGCAACAACUUUCAACAUCUUCAAUCAGUUUUUUAGCCAAUAAAGUAUCUAGCAACUUAUGGCAUGCAUGACUUGACCAUCCUCAAGCCCGGAUUCUUAUAAAGUUAUGUUUACCAUCUAUAAAUAAACAAAAUGCUUUCUAUGAAGGCUAUGUUUUGGGAAAAUCAACAAAGUUACCAUUUGAAUCUCGUAAAUCCUAUGCUACUUCUUUUCUGUAUACACUUCACACAGAUGUAUGAGGUCCUGCAUCUGUUUCUUCUUAUGAUGGCUAUUAGUUUUACUUAAUCAUUGUUGAUGAAUAUUCUUGAUGUAUAUGGUUCUUUCUUAUAAAUCAUAAAUCUGACGUAGCAACAAUAUUUUCUACAUUCCUCAAGCAAAUGGAAAAACAAUUUGAUGUUUAUGUUAAAAUAACUCAAAGUGAUGAGGGUGGUGAGUUUGUUAAUCAAAGCCUGCAUAAUCUUUUCAAAACUAAUGGUAUCAUUCAUAGAUUCUUAUGUCCAUAAACAUCAGAACAAAAUGAAUUGGCUGAACGUCGUCAAUGGCAUAUUGUGGAAUAUGGAUUAACAUUGUUAUCACAUGCUUCUAUUACGAUACAAUUCUGAAUAGCAGCCUUUUGUACUGUAAUAUUUCUAAUAAAUCGUCUACCUACUUCAGUUCUUGGUUACAACUCACCGCAUAAAGUUAUUUUCAGUUAUGCUUCUGCUUAUAAUUCCCUACAAGUUUUUGGGUGCUCCUGCUACCCAUUACUUGCACAAUUUGGUUGAUCAAAAUUGGACUUUAAAUCCACAUGGUGUGUGUUUCUUGGUUAUUCAAAUAAUCAUAAAGGAUAUCUUUGUCUUGAACCUUAGACAAGUCGCCUCUACAUAUCUCAUCAUGUGAAAUUUAAUGAAUCUCAGUUUCCCUACAGAUGCAUGCAGAAACGUGACACACAUGUUUCUCAGUUAUUUAAAGUCAGAGCACUUCCUCGACUACUCAAGACCAUGACUGAAAAAACAAAUGUCUCAACUCAAUAAAUAAUACAUCAUGUUUCAGCAAAAAAUGUCCAAAGUGUAUGAGUAUCUCAGUCUCCAAUUCCUGAACCAAUUCCUCCAUUCACUGCACUAGAAUUCAAUACUUUAGCACCAGAGGAUUCUCCCAUACUUGCUCCACAACAACAUCAUCAUAUGGUUACACGGGCUCAAAUAGGGAAGCUAAAACCCAAGGUAUUGUUCUCUUCAUAAUAUUCAAUACCUGCUUGUUUUGUUGCUGACCUUAUCACUCAACAACAAGACCUAGCGUACUUCAACAUCUGCAAUGGCAUCAAGCAAUGCAAGUUGAAAUGGAUGCUCUUCACACCAACAACACCUGAAAUUUGGUACCUAGAGAGCCAAACAUGAAUGUUAUCAGUAGUAAAUGGGUGUUCAAAAUCAAAACACGAUCUGAUACCUCUAUUGAAAGGUAUAAAGCUCAACUAGUGACUCGUGGAUUUACACAACAACCAAGCCUAGAUUAUGAUGAAACCUUUAGUCCAGUCAUCAAACCAAGUACUAUUUAGUUAAUCUUUACCAUUGGGCUAUCUCAAAGCUUGUCUAUCAGAUAACUAGAUGUUAGUAAUGCCUUUUUUCAUGGUGACCUACACGAAUAAGUAUAUUUGGCUCAACCCCAGGUUUUGAGGAUUUCUCCCAUCCAGAUCAUGUUUAUCAUCUCCAUAAAGCUUUGUAAGGUUUAAAGCAGCCCCUCGCGUCUAGUACCUAAAAUUCAGUACUUAUAUCCAGCAAAUGAGAUUCAUAUAAUGUCCCUAUGAUCAAUCUUUAUUCUCGCACUCAAGGAUCAGGCAUUCUUCUUUUACUUAUUUAUGUUAAUGACAUUCUUUUAAUAGGAAGUUCCUCUUCACAGAUUGACAAGUUUAUUACACACCUAUCUUUCAUCUUUCAUAUGAAAGAUCUUGGUGAUAUUCAUUACUUCUUAAGUCUUCAAAUCAUUUGCCAUGCAUCCACUGUCACUCAUACAAGGUAUUUACUGUCUCUUCUUCAAACGUUUGGUCUUGAUGGCACCAAACUUGUAAGCACUCCACUAGUAUGGGGGCCUUCUAUGUAUGCUGUUGAUGGUGCUCCCUUAGUUAAUCCUUUCCUUUAUCGCUGUUUGGUUGGCUCAUUAUAAUAUCUCACUCUAACCAGACUCGACAUCUCCUAUGUUGUUCAUCAAGUCUGUCAAUUCAUGCAAACACCCCAUGAUAUUCACCUCAUUGUUGUUAAGAGGAUUUUUCGGUAUCUGAAGGGUACUCUCAAUGUUGGUCUUCACUACGUCUGUACCCCUAUUCAUAAACUUCGUGGUUUUUGUGAUGUCGAUUGGGCUAGUUGCAGGGAUGAUAAACAUUUCAUUACUGGUUUUGCUAUCUUUUUAAGCGAUAAUUUGAUAUCUUAAAGCGCUAAGAAACAAGCUAUUGUGUCUCGAUCGACAACUGAAGCUAAAUACUGUGUCUUAACCUUAACUACAAGUGAGCUUAUUUGGUUUGUGCAUUUACUAAAGAAUAUUGGCUAUUGUGUCCCUCCUUCUACGUUGUAUAGUGACAAUAUUAGUGCCAUUCAUAUGGCCAAGAAUCCAAUGUUCCAUCACCGUAUAAAACACAUCAAAAUUGAUGUUCACUUUGUUCAUGAAUGGGUUGCGUGUGGUGUUCUCUCUUUGGUAUACAUUCCAGGAUCGGAUCAAAUUGCAGAUAUUUUUACCAAAUCCCUUUAUGCUAUAAAAUUUAUUCCAAAUCAUGGCAAGCUCUGUCUCAGUCCAGUCCCGCCUUGAGCUUGAGGGGGGAUGAUGAGAUAUAGAGAUAUGCAGAUGCUGAGAUCCUGCUGAGAUCUCUUUACUGAGAGAUCCUCUACUGGGAUCUCUAUGUCAGGAUCCUCCCUAUUUAUUCACUUCAUGGUCUCCACAAUAUUUGUAAUUCAAUAUGUUUCUAUAAUCUCUGUAGACAAAUUAUAUAUAUAUAUAUAUAUAUAGCAAGAAUCAAUCCUACAUAAAUGUCCAGUAAUGCCUAUUUAUAGGUAAUAACAAUACAUAGAAAUAUAAGUUCACCAUUUCCUAUAAGCAUCAUCUUUUUAUUUUUCAAUAAUAAUGUGCUAUAAAUAAUUGGUAGGUUGAGAGACCUUUUGAGAAGGAGCCCUUAUAGAUUAUGAUGCUAAAAAAUAAGAAACUAUAUUAGAAGACAAGUUAUCCAAUAAGGUAUAAUGAAUAACUAAAGUAUAAAGAUUUCUCACCAAAAGUUUGUUUUGCUCAAUUUUCUAGCUGAUCUACUAGCUAAAUUUUUAGUAAGCCUUCUCUUACCAUCUUUUGUAAAAGGUUCUUCAUCAUAUAAAAGUUUCUUAGCCAUCUUUUUUAAAGAAAGGUUUAAGAUGACAUAUUAUAGCUUUCUUGUACAAUAGAAAAAACCUUAAUUAAUUUCCUAAUAUUAGCAUAAAGUCUCUCACACUAUAGAAUCCAAAAUUAUGUUUUGUUAACUAUGUUACAUUUUUCACUUCCUUUAGCAUUUUGAAAAUUAUUAUCUAGAUUAGAACUAUUAAUGGUAUAUUACAUUAGAAAUGGAACACAUUAUACAAACUUCGAUUGUCUUGCCACGAAAUAGAGGUUAUAGGGCUCAUAAGAACAAUAGUUUCCUUUAUAAUAAAUCUAUCACUAAACUAAAUUGUAGAUCCUUUUAGGUUAGAAUAAUUUUUCACACUACAAUGUUCUCCUCUCCCUUACAAUUUAUACUUUGAUGUUUAAGAAUCAAUAGUCAUCUAGGGCAUGUUCUCAUAGACAUUAAAAUGAUCAUGGAUCGGUUAUUCCUCCUUGUCAUGGAUAGAAAAAUAUCUAGGUAUCUCUUGAAAGGAAAGUUGUGGAAAUGGAUCAUUUUGUCCUCUACAAAUUAAUAGGGAGUCCAAAUUUGACUACACGACACUAGAUUCAUGGAAAUUUAUAGUUUCCCAUGCUUAAAUCCACCAUAAAAUUCAAUAAAAGUUUCCUUUUAUCAUGAAAGGGUGGUUGGUCUUCACCUCUCACUUGGCAUUCCUCUAAUACCAUAUAUAUAUGUGUGUGUGUGUGUGUGUGUGUGUGUGUGUGUGUGUGUGUGAUUUAACAUAAAAGGUCUUAGGAUAAUUUACAUUAUCAAAAAAUAGUAAUAAAUAACCCGACAAGACUAAGGUUGAAUCACAGGGAGGUGAACUAUAUAAAAUUAUAAACAACAAAUGAAAAGGAGUUGAAGAGAACUUUUGAAAUGUGAUAUUGAUGUGAGUAUUAAUCAAAGAUAAAAGCAAUUGUCAAGGUUAGAGGAUCAACUAAUAGUAUUAGAAAUAAGUAUAGUAUAAACUUUUUUUAUUAAUCAACUGGAAACCACACACAAAGAAGGUUCAAAUCAGAUGAUUUAUCCUUAAUAGUUCAUUAUAAAUUUUUAACAUGAUCAUAUUGAUUAUCUUAUUUUAGUAACACCAUACUUUUAAAUAUUGUCAGGAAUUCAUGAUGUUAACUUAUGUUAACAACAAAUCAAGUUCCUUUCAUAGCACAGGUGUCGAUUAUACCAUAUAGUAGGCUAUGAAAGUGUCAAGUAUUUGUUGUACCAAGGGUUGUACAAUACAAAUCUAGAUUAAUUAUUUAACAAGUAAGGUAUUAAGAAUUAGUAAGAUAAAAAGAUAAGACAUGUUAAUAACAAACUUUCUUGGAUAUAAACAUUGAAGUCCAUGUUGAGUUUAUAUUAUAUCUAUUCUAACACCAUUAGUGAAAUCUUUUCACCUUGACAUAAUAAACUUAGCUAAACAUUGUGAAGAAGAGAAAACAUAAAUAAACUAGAUAAGAACAUAGUUAUGAUGAAAAGUAUAAACAAGAGAUUAUUAAAAGCAAAACUUAAACAUUACAAAAAUACAAAGAAAGAAAGCAAGAAGAUGAUCUUGAUCUGAAAACCAAGAGGCCUAAAUGCAUGAAAAAUGCCUCCUUUUAUAGGCCAAAAUUCAAAACUAUUGAUUUGAUGACUAAUUGUUGAGUGGGUGGCCACCUCUUCACUUGGUAACAAUCCUUAUCUUCUUGUCUGCAGAAAACGUCAUUGCUAACAUCAUAAUUUGAACAAAUAGUCUCAUGAAAGUUCUCGAAAAUUGUCUCAGCUUUCCAACAAAACAAGAAUGAGGUCAUGUGGACUUCUAGAACUCGAGAUAUGGGCUGAACACUGAACAAUGUCUGGGCUGCAGGAUAGAUUCUGACUUCUCUGUUGUUGCUAUAAUUUGAACUUGAAAAUGGUCCUUUUGAAUCUUGGACUCUCAUGAAAGUUUUAGGCCUAUGUCUUAGCUUUAUAUCCAUAUAAACCAGACCUAAAUCCAAGUUCUACAACUCUAGUUAUGAUCCAAUAACCGAAUGGUGUUUCAAUUUGAAUUCAACCAACAUCUCUUUUCUAAGCUUAGCCCUCUCUUUGUCUUCUUAAUUUCAGUAGUUAAACUCAUCAAUCAAUCCUUUGAUUUAUGUGAUAGGUCUGCAUUUAAAAUGAAUAUUUACCAUAAAUUAAAUGUAUCUUAUAUUAUCAGACUUGUUAUUAUAAAACAUGCUCUAGUUAAGGAGUUAUUGAUACUUCAAAUGCAAAAUGAUGAUAUAAAACCUUGAUAAAAAUACACUUUUAAGUACUAAUCAACAAUGGUCCUACCAUUAUCCAAGGUCACAACUAUAUUUAACUAGGCCUUAUUUAAUUUAUAAGACCUGGAAAAAAUUAAAUAUCUAUAUACCCAAAAGAGAAAGGAAAAAAAAAAGCCACAUGUUCUAUCUAGAAGGAAAAUUUGGUUCCUUUCUUCUCCUUUUUAAAAAUAACACUAUAUUUAGGAGUACUUACCAAUAAGUCUUCAAAUUGACCUAUAAUAAAUUAUAUGGAUGCACAAAGCUAACCUUUUGAGUAUAGGCUCCUAUCAAAGCCAAAUCAUAUAGAAAUAUAUAUAAUUUGCAUCCUAUACCUAAAUACAAAGAUGUUAUUUGAUUUGACUAAAAAAUGAUAAAGUUGUCACAUUUCCUUGCUAGGCUUAGUGGUAAUCCUAUAUAGUUGGAUUACGUCAAAGAUCUAUUAGCAUUUUCAUUCUUCAUCAAAGUGUGGUUUUAUUCUCUCUAUAUAUUGAGGUUCACUUGAUUUUUCUAGAGUGAAAGCCUUUCUCUAUAUAUCUAAGGCAAACAAGUUAUAUCUUUUUUAUAGAAUUUCUUCUUAAUAUUGUCCAAAGACAUUCUUGAAUCAAUAUUUUUAGGGAAAUGCUGAUUAUAGAUCAGUGUAAAUUAGUGAUACAAUCUAUGUAAUGCUAGAAGUGGGUGAUAAGAGAAGGGUUUUAUUUUGCAGAGCUUGAAGAUGUCAUUUAUGUGUUUAAAGAGAGAAGUAAGGUUAAGGUUUAUCCUCUUUUUUAGAAAUCUUUGGUUUCUUCAGAUAAGGAUUGGGAGCUUUUUAAAUAAAAUGAAAGGAUAGGAUGUUAAUUGAUUGAAUUGAUAAAUUAACUAUAAAUCAAAAUUAUAGUUAUUGUAACGGUAAUAUCAUGCCAAAAAGCUAGAAAACAUUUUAUUUUGAAAUUUCUUAAAUGUCUAACAUGUUAGACAAUGAAAUAUGGUGGAUAUUUUGGAAAAACAAUUCUUGAUUUUCCAUGUCAUUCAUGGUUAAUUUUAUGAUUGAUUGAAAUAUAAAAGGUAAAUCAAUAUUCUUUCAUUUAUAUUAAAUAAAGAAAUAUGGAUGCAUUAUUUAUGUCAAAGUUAAACCAUUCAUGUAUCAUGUGAUUAAGAACAAUAUAAUUUAUUGUUAGUUUUUAAGAAAAAUAACGAAGAAAAAUAAAAUUAAAUAUCAACCAAUAAAGAAGGUUAAGUUCGAAAAUCAUCUAAGAGAUUAAGUUUCACAUUAAGUGAUUGAUUAAUCCUAUAUAAAAAAGAACUUAACUUAUGGAUAUUAUAAAUUGAUAUAAGCAUAUGUUAUUAUAAAGAUGUCUGCCAGAAAAAUAGUAAAUAAGUGCAAGUUAUGCUAGGAUUAAUAUUGUACAAUCUUUAUAUGUUAUAAAUUGUUUGUUUAAGAUUAAGAUUUUAUAUUUAUGUGAGAUUUUAUCUCAAUAAAAAUAUAAAUAUAUCAUUUAAUAGCUUAAAAUAAUGGUUAGUGUUAUAUACAUAAUUUAUUAUGCAAUUUACUCAUAAUUUUAUGCUAUUUAUUGCUUUCUUUUAUGUAUGACAAUAUAUUUCUUUUCCUUAUACAUUUUACUAGUCAUAUUACACGUGCUUGAAUUCAGGUCGAAUCAAAAGUUAAUUUUUAACAUAAAUGAAUGUUCAAGCGUUUUAAGUGUGUUUUUUAGAAUAUACAAAUAGAAAAGACCAUAAACCAAAAGAAAAUGACCACACAUGCAAAGUUGCAAAUAUAAUCCACGGUGAACUAGAAGGAGGUGAGCAGUGGAGCACGUUAUAGUGAAAUCAUCGGAUCUUUUAGUAUUUCCUGCAAUUAUAAUUUACGAAUUCAAGAUAUAGUGAAAUCAAAGCUUGUUUUUCUUUUUCUUUUUUUUCUUAACAUAUUGAAGUCAAGUUACGAAUUCUUUGAUCAAGAUUAAGUGUCUAAUUAUAAUUUUUCGUUGUUGGAUAAUCAAUGAUCACUUUAUUUAUUAGAUCAACAAAUGAAAAUAAUUAAAUAAGGCAUUUAAAUGAGAAAAAAUGGAUUGACAUUACUCUUUAUUUAUUAAAUCAUAUACUUUACCAUCAAAGAAUAAUAAUAUCUUACAACCAUGAAACAGGCAGUCAAUUCACCAUUACAUCUUACGUGUCCUCUAAGGAAUUUGUUUUUUUCACAAUACGUAGGGAAUUAAGGAAGAAAAUGCCUACAAUGCUACAUCAAAAAGAAAGCUUCACAGCCGUCCAAUAAAUAAACACAAAUGAGAGGGGAAAGAACACAAAAGAUUAGCUUUGAACAGUCGUUCAACAAAAAGCUCCAAGGUGCUUCAUCUUUGACCAAAGAGAUUGGAAAUGACAGCACAUAAUGAUCUUGAAUAGAGUGAUCAUGUUAAAGUUUUAAAGCAGCAGAAGAAUGGUGAUGAGCAUAGCCAAAUUGGGCAGGAAGAUGCACGCACCAAUCUUGGGCAGCCCAUUUGGAGCUCCUGGUGGUACUGCUGUAGCUCCACCACCUGGAACUGGGGGGGGACUUGCUGUAUGAGAGGGCAAGGGUCCCUCCACAACAUCAGGUGCAGUUAACACUGGGUUUGGAGGCUCAGCUGGGGGCAAGGCAAAAGGUGAGAUUAGCUGCAUGAGACCGCCAGGCUGAGCAGGGCUCAUGUAAGAAGGUAAUUCCUUGCCCAAGCAUCGGUUCCCUGCAAUAAAAUGGAGCAAUGUGUUACUAAAUGGCAAACAGAUAUCACUACAUGUCUGGUGGAUAUAUUUAUUAUGGAAUUUCCAUAAAAUCUGAAAUGAGACUAACACAAAUAAUGGCAGUUAAAUAUACUCUCAAGUCAUAUUGUAUGAUCCUAACCUGAUUUCUACAUCUAACAUGUAAUAUGCGAAUCUAUUUUUCUCAGCCUAGUACAGCAUGAAAUUAAACUGACAUUUUCAUGAGAACAAGAUCAUCUAAGGAAUAAUUUGUCCAGAACAUACAACAUCGUCCAGGAUUCACUCUGUAUUGUUGCAUGUAAACUAGAAACAUCAGUGACUUACUCUU